UACUCCGUGGCGCAAUGGUAGCGCGAUCCGGGCUUUUUCCAUGGAAAGGGUGCGUGUUCGAUUCACGCCGGAGUGA